UAGACGCUGGCGGCGUGCCUAAUACAUGCAAGUCGAACGAGGUGUCUUUUGUAGCAAUACGAAAGUAUCCUAGUGGCGAACGGGUGAGUAACGCGUUGGUGACCUACCCCAAAGUGUGGGAUAACAGUUCGAAAGAACUGCUAAUACCGCAUGUGGUUAUCGGAUUUAGAAACUGAUAACUAAAGGAGCAAUUCGCUUUGGGAGGGACCUGCGUCCCAUCAGCUAGUUGGUGAGGUAAUGGCUCACCAAGGCUACGACGGGUAGGGGACCUGAGAGGGUGACCCCCCACAAUGGAACUGAAACACGGUCCAUACACCUACGGGUGGCAGCAGUAGGGAAUAUUGCACAAUGGGCGAAAGCCUGAUGCAGCAACGCCGCGUGUGCGAUGAAGGCCCUCGGGUCGUAAAGCACUUUUCUGAGAGAUGAGCAAGGACAGUAUCUCAGGAAUAAGUCUCGGCUAACUACGUG
rnacentral:rRNA from 1 species